AUUAGAAGUCAGUCUCCCUGGUCUACAGUUGGAAGGAUCCACUAUGUUUAAGAUCUGUGUUUAAGGUGGAGUAUAGUGGAAAAAAAACAGUGAAUUUGGAGUCAGAACCACUUAGUUUAUGUGACAAUAUGCCAGGUUAAUACUUCUUAAUUCACUGCCUGACUACAUCGGUUGAGGGGACACAACAGAGGAGAGACUCUAAAAGAACACUCUAAUGCAAAUAUUAACAACAUGGCAAUGGGUUCAAAUCAAGAACAGGUGAUACCCAGUGGAAUCACGCAUCGGCUGGGGGGGGGGAGGAAAAGAAAAUGAUCUUUGUCUUUAAUGAAUAAU